rnacentral:rRNA from 1 species
UACGUAGGGGGCUAGGCGUUGUCCGGAAUCAUUGGGCGUAAAGCGCGCGGUAGGCGGCCAGAUAAGUCCGGUGUGAAAGUCACAGGCUCAACCUGUAGAAUGCCGCUGGAAACUGUCUGGCUAGAGUCCGGAAGGGGCGAGUGGAAUUCCUGGUGGUAGCGGUGAAAUGCGCAGAUAUCAAGGAGGAACACCAAUGGCGAAGGCAGCUCGCUGGAACGGUAACUGACGCUGAGGCGCGAAAGCGUGGGGAGCGAACAGGA